CAGGGAGACAACACAAUGAUUUUGAUGCCUGAGUGCUUUUAUUCUUAGGCCGAAAUCCUGUCACCUUAGGUCGAUCGGUACCUCAGCUUUGAAGUCAAGGAUUAGCAGCAAUGUUGAUGGCUUGAUGGAAAUUUUCAGUUCCUAAACUUUGUCUAGGUCACACCCCACAAGGGUUGAGUCUCCUGGGCCAUUAGCUCAGGUGGUUAGAGCGCACCCCUGAUAAGGGUGAGGUCCCUGGUUCAAGUCCAGGAUGGCCCAUUCGGUGUUGGGGGUUUAGCUCAGUUGGUAGAGCGCCUGCUUUGCAAGCAGGAUGUCAGGAGUUCGAGUCUCCUAACCUCCACUGACCGAACUCAAUCUCCAUCGUCCGCAUUUGGAGGAUGAACUCGAGUGUUUUUGGUGUGAUUUUAGAUGUGUCCGCUGGUGAACCCAGCUUCCUGUCAUUCCAGAUGAUGAGCUUUGGCUUUGAAUUUGGUUGAUAAGAUGCUGGGCUCGAAUCAAGUGAUCAAGCAAUUGAUGAUUUGAUUUUGAGUUCUAGCAGAACCUUGACAACUGCAUAGGUAAGUCUGGAAAAACAAAGCAUCUUACAGAUGCAUUGUUUUGAAUCUGAUCUUCUGAAAGGGAGAUUGGAUCCAGAGCAAUGAAUAAUUCUUUUGAGCAAGAGCCGAGACUCUUGAGCGUUCUUGGAUUCGUGUCGAGCGAAUCUGAGUUUGAUUUUGUCUUAUGUUUCAGCGUAAGUUGAAGAGUAAGGCUUAAGAAUCUGCUUUCAACGGCGGUAAGCGUUCAGGAGAUUAAUU
rnacentral:tRNA from 1 species